UGUCUCUGAUUAAUGUACAUGUGCAUAAGGUGUAUAAGCUCUGGUAAAAGUAGAGAGUUUUGUCACCUGAAACAGAGAACUCCUUAAUUGCAUUGGAUGUUAAAAAUAAAGUUUACAUGGAAGAUAAAUUACAGCAGAAUUAAGGUUGAACGAAAAUGAUUAUUUUAUUCAAUAAUAAUGCAAUGCCAACAGGAAUUUGUCACGUGCAGUGACAUUGUGUUCCCACGUGAGUUAAUUUGCAUAUAGGAAUUUAUUAAAUACGUGCAGUGACAUUGCGUUCGCACGUGGAACAGUUGAAGGGUAGCAUUCCAGUGGAUUUUUUUUUUUCAAAUUGUUGUCCCUGAAUAAUUAACUCGCUUAUUUACACCAGUAUUUUCAAUGAUAAACCUGUGACAGUGUCUCCUUCAUUGUCACAUUGACUUGCAGGUUUUAUGUAACUCCCUUUCUGGAGAAGGUUAAAAGACGUUCUCCACCUUAGUCUCAGAAACUAAAAAAUAAAUUGAAACAAUAUAAAACCUAAUCAACAUUCUGGGCAAAACGUUGGUGUAAGUGAUGCAAACAAUUAAUUAGGUUUUUGUAGGUCAAGUUGGGAGGACGGUGCAGACGCUGCAGGCGUGCAUUAUGCAGCAUCCGCAAAGCAAAGCAGCUGCUGGAUCUGUAGGAGUGUUAGGAUAAUGUUAUAGGCAUUUAAAUUCGGCGAAAUAUUCUCAUACGCGUUUAGAAACCUCCGCACCACGUUCUAUCGCUUUUCCGUUCGACAAAAAGGCAUAUUCAUACGUAAUGUUCGGCAAACUCGUGGUUUUUUUUGGCUAAACCGGAGACGGUUUAAUUGGUACGAAGACCGUGAAGGGACAUGGGAGUUAUUUGGGUUUUUUUCAUAAUACUAUUACGUAUGUGUAAGUGUCACGUACAUACGUAACUCACGCACGUAAUAUUAUCACGUACGUAGGUAAUAUAAUCACGUAGGGCCCACGUGAUAAUUAUUACGUACGUAGGGCCCACGUGAUAAUUAUUAAGUGCGUAUACACAACGUAUACUCGUUUAAGGAUACACGUAUUAUCACUUACAUAUGCAAUACAUGUACGUACGUAAUAUGUACUUAUUUAUCAGGUAUGUACGCAAUAAUAAUACUAAUAUUGCGUUAGUACGUAAUAUUAUAUUAUCAUGUACGUAUGUGAUAAAUUAAAUGUAUCACGUACGUACGUUGUGAUUGUCAUGUGUAGGCCUAUAGUAGUAGGCCCUAAAUAAGAACAAUAGGCCUAUGUUCAUCUCCUCUUGGUCUUCGUACCCACGUACCCGCGUAUCCGCAUAUCCGCGUACCUGCGUAAUCGCGCGAUUUCGUGUACCAUACUUCGAAGUGAUAAAAUCUAGGGAACUGUUUAGCAAAGUGCAAUGAACAGUGUUAGGGAAAAUGAAGCAAACGAAAAUUAGGGAGCCAGCAUAGCCCGCUGCGAGCAUGCGCACAUUGAGCCUGCACGCAGUGCGAUGGGGAUUUUAUAAGUUUAAAAAAAAAAAAAAAAAAAAAGGACAAAAAUAACACUAACUUUAUGCAAACGAAAAUCAAAAUCAGUCUAAUGAAAAACACUGUCCCCCUAAACUUGAAAGUACUGGUGUAUUUCAUUUUAUUUUCGCUAUUAAGAAACUUCACUCGCAAAUUUAUAGUCGGUUUUGAAAUUGAUUGAGAGUCAUUUUGUGAUAUUUUAUCGAUCAACUGGAAUGCUGCCCUCUAUACGGACAUUGGCUGGUACUUUGCUGAACUCAAAACAAUAAUUAAACAAAGUUAGUAAAACAACUACAGAAAGUGGCAAUGCCUGGUGCGUUGUCCACCAACGACGAUAUAAUUUCUUUAUAAUUGUAUAAAAUGUUUAAGAGCAAACAAGAUUCAUAAAAUCUAGGCCAUCGGCAAUUGACAGUGACCAUGCCUGGUGCAGUGUCACUUGUAAGGGGUAUCCUCUUCGGUGCGUAUUAGUAGCGCUGAUUUCCAAGAGACCCCUUCCUUCAGAAGAACUUGAACAUUAAAACUUAAACCAUAACCAUUUAACAAAAACACGGAAGGACGUUACUACCGUUAUGUUUAGCCAUACAGAGAAAACUGUUGGUUAAUAAUUAACACUCAUUCCUAAAUGAGCUCUCUGUUAAGGUGACAUAUACGCUCUUAUAGUAACACUAAAAGGUCAAAAAUCUGGGAUUAACAGCGUCUGUAAAAGCGCCGCAUUGUCUAUACUUCGCUAGUCUGUGAGCAGUGAGGGCACAGUUGACAGUUGACCAUAGUUUAAUGAUCGUAGUAAAAUCAAAAGUCAUAACUUUGGUUAAUUAUACUUUGCAUAAAUUUAUAUAAACGACAUUUAUAUUCUGUGAAGAGCUUUAUAGCUCGGAUCGUUAUUAAGUAUUUAAAGAUAAACUUAUCUGUAAGUAAAAAAAAUGCUUACAGAGAAAAUGACUUUUGGGGGAAAAACUCAAAAGUAGAUUGUAUUUUGUUUCAUUGUAAAUGUUGCAUGUUUGAUUUUUUGCCUUUGUGUGCAUUGCUCUCUGUGUGGUGUGAUUUUUUUAAUGGUAUCCGUCUGUUGUCUCUGACAAUAGACAAAAUUAAAGCAAUUUAAAUCAAAUUAAUUGUUGCGGCUACGAAAAUGUCAAAUCGUUAAGCAAAAUCGAAGCAGAUGUUGAAAAGAUUAGUGUUAUAAGUGUUGAAAAGUGUUAUGUUUUUCUCAACUGCAAUACGUCGGUUAAAAAAUGUUACGGUUUUGAAGAGGCAAACCUCAAAUUGACGAAAAUACGAAAUCAACUUUAAUUUGUUAGGCAGUAUUGGAAUAAAUAAUACCUACCCGGAGAUUUACUUGACUACGCGUAUGACGAAAACUGAAAACAAAAUUCAAAUCGGUGCAAAAUAAAUGGUAGCGAAAAUCACAUCGUAAACGAAUUUGUUUUCCGAAAAACAAAUCACUCCGCUUUCUACGUGUAGGCCUACACGCUAGGAAAAUGAUGAAAAUUACGCGAGGAAAACAUCACAGCGUUAGUGAGAGUAAAAAUACCCGAAAUCAGUAUUAUUGUUCUUGCCACAAAGUAAACAAAAUGGAUUAUGGAAAUAACAAAUCAAAAUGACGAAAAUAACGGCAUAAAAAUUAAUCAUCGGCAACGAGAGAAGUAAAUACAAGUGUUUUCGGAAAGCGAAUUUCGGCAAACGGUGGGAAAAUGACAGUGGGAAAAUGACGGCAGCAAAAGAAAGUGAAAUUGACGAAAUUACGAGAAAAAACUCACACCAUAAUGAUUAAAAUAUCUGUUUAGAAAAUGACUGAAUUUCAGUUAUAAACAGCGGCAUUUCAAAAACAUCAAAAUUGUUGGCAUUGUCGGGAAGUGCCUUCAAAAAGACCUAAUUGCCCCCCCCCCCCACCAAAAAAGUACAUUGUGAAAGGGUACAACUUAUUGGCAACCUGCCGUUAUCGGUGUCGGCACAUGUUCGUGUGCAUUAUGACAAAAAGAUCAUGUCUGUUUUUAAAAGUAAAUAGUGGAAACAUGGGUAGAAUCGUUUAGUUUCUAUUUGGUAACAAGUGGCUUUAUUACAAGUAGGCUUAGACAUAAUGCUUUGGAAUGUUCACUUCAGUAACAAAUGGGCUAGGCCCAGUGUUUUCGUAACCCUGUUCACUUAGGAAAGAGUUGCAGCUUUCAUCAAAGAAACUGAUGAUCUAAAAGUUGAGACUGCAUGGAUGAGCUAGGCUGCUUUGUUUGGACGAAAAUAAACCCUCCAAGGCUCCAACUGCCUCGUCAAACAGAAACUCGAGGAACCGGAAGCAGGGAGGAGGACCGACAGAUGAACGGAUGACCUGCUUGCUGUGCUACCCAUUACUGAUUCUUGAGAAAAAUGAAGACCACUGACUGUUGAGGGAAUUGCUUCACUGAGAUUGAUGAGCCUGCCUCAAGACAUCGUCAGGGCUCCAACAGCCUUAUCACACAGAAACUCGAGGAACCGGAAGCGGGGAGGAGGACCGACAGAUGAACGGAUGACCUGCUUGCUGGGCUUCCCAUUACUGACUAUCGGAAAAAUGAGGUCCACUGACUGAUGAGGGAAUUGCUCUACUGGGAUUGAUGAGCCUACCUCACGACAUCGUCAGGGCGCCAACAGCCUCAUCAAACAGAAACAUGAGGAACUGGAAGCAGGGAGGAGGACCGACAGAUGAACGGAUGACCUGCUUGCUGGGCUUCCCAUUCCUGAU